AGUGAACGCUGGCGGUAGGCCUAACACAUGCAAGUCGAACGGCAGCACAGUAAGAGCUUGCUCUUACGGGUGGCGAGUGGCGGACGGGUGAGGAAUACAUCGGAAUCUACUUUUUCGUGGGGGAUAGCGUAGGGAAACUUACGCUAAUACCGCAUACGACCUACGGGUGAAAGCAGGGGAUCUUCGGACCUUGCUCGAUUGAAUGAGCCGAUGUCGGAUUAGCUAGUUGGCGGGGUAAAGGCCCACCAAGGCGACGAUCCGUAGCUGGUCUGGGAGGAUGAUCAGCCACACUGGAACUGAGACACGGUCCAGACUCCUACGGGAGGCAGCAGUGGGGAAUAUUGGACAAUGGGCGCAAGCCUGAUCCAGCCAUACCGCGUGGGUGAAGAAGGCCUUCGGGUUGUAAAGCCCUUUUGUUGGGAAAGAAAAGCAGCAGGUUAAUACCCCGCUGUUCUGACGGUACCCAAAGAAUAAGCACCGGCUAACUUCGUG
rnacentral:rRNA from 1 species